AACAUAUUUUUUUUCAUUGACGUCCGCAAAGUCGGUGGGGGUCAGAAACCAAGGGUAAAUUUGUGUUUGCUUUUACAGGUUGUUGUUAUUAGUUGUCUGUUGCGUGAAAUAGGAAGUGUUUCGGUUGACUGGGUUCACAUUCUCCCGACUCCUUGUAGCCAGGAAGUGUAUCACUUGCGUCAGAUAAUACGGUCACUUUGAUACAGUCUAUGAGCCUUAUGUCCCGUCUCCGUAGACAGUCAAAUUUAAACUGUAGGAUGGUUUCCAAUUAGAGAUGAACUAACUGACAUCAGACGAAAAGUGAAAAACGUACGGUCAUUCUGUCUAUCCUUGUAUCUCUUGGUGUAUGAAAUAUGGUGGUAGGUAUUGAGAGAACAUAUUAAUCCCACCCUCCAACCUACCCUGAGAUGGUUUGUGGACCAGCCCUGACGGAAGCGUGCAUUCAUUGAUUGAUGGCAACAGCGCCUUGAGGAAAACAAACACACAUCAUUCCAUGAUAAUUCCAACACACAAACACGCCAAGGCUACGACCUUGGGAACAAGCUGAGGAAAAAAAAGAGAUGAAACUGUAAAGAGUAAACUUUGGAAACGUAUUCAAGAGCAAAUUAUGCUUAUUUCUUU
rnacentral:misc_RNA from 1 species